rnacentral:tRNA from 1 species
AGGGGUGUAGCUCAGUGGUAGAGUGCGUGCUUAGCAUGCACAAGGUCCUGGGUUCAAUCCCCAGUACCUCCA